AUGCUAAACAAGCAGCGCUUGACAUGGGAAAGGUUCUUGACAUUGAAAUUCAAGAGGAAGGCGAAAAAUUGGCCAAAUUUAAAGCAGCCAAUGAGUACCCUUUACUCUCCAAUGAGUUCUUCAUCCGCCACGGACAUCAUUUAAUAGGUACAAUGAGUACUUGGUUCUUGUUGGACAUAGCUUUCUACAGCCAGAAGGAGAAAAAUUGGCCAAAUUUAAAGCAGCCAAUGAGUACCCUUUACUCUCCAAUGAGUUCUUCAUGCGCCACGGACUUCACUUAAUAGGUACAAUGACUACUUGGUUCUUGUUGGACAUAGCUUUCUACAGCCAAAACC
rnacentral:lncRNA from 1 species